rnacentral:lncRNA from 1 species
CGUAUUCAUGUAGUGUCGGGUCCACCAGCUCGAUUUCCUUGUUGUUUUCAUGGAGAUUCCAAGCCUGAUCCAUUCAUUACAAAUCAACCACUACUUCUUAGUGGAGUUACAUGAGUUAGGGCAAAUAGUGUGAUUCUAACCGGACAUUUUGGACUCGUUAUCAAAAUUUAGUAUCCCUAUAUUAUGUGCACUUGGAAGACGAUGUGUAAUGCUGGAAUUGUAUGUGUAUGAGUAUAUUAUGUGUUCCAUGGAUUUGAUUCAAAUCGAAUAUACCAUGCAUAUUAGUAUUUUUGAAAGGUUGAGACAAUUUAGCAACUUAUAUUAAGUUCAUAUAUCAAAAAAGUCCUUAUCAUAAUAAAGUUUAAAAAUAGUUAUACAAAAAAGGAAUAAAAAAAAAAAGAACCACUUUUUGAUUUAAAGUAAAAAUACCUACAAAGAUACUAAAAAAAAGUAUAAAAAUUAAUAACCACUUUUUGGUUUAAAAUAGUGUUUUGCUUUACAUUGGUGAUAUCAAUACUAAACCUAUUCUUGGUCUUGAACUAGGGGUAGAAUAGUAGGAGUUGCUAUUUUUAUAUAGGAGUUUUGGCAAAUAAAAUCACGAACUAUUUCGAGUUUGCAAUUUUAGCGCGACUUUUUGAAGUGUGGCGAAUUAAAUCACCACCUUUUCAAUUUUUGCAAUUUCGUCCCCCAUUUUUUUUUCGUCGCUAGAGUGUUGAUU